rnacentral:rRNA from 1 species
CUAACUCCGUGCCAGCAGCCGCGGUAAUACGGAGGGUGCGAGCGUUAAUCGGAAUUACUGGGCGUAAAGCGCAUGCAGGUGGUUUGUUAAGUUCAGAUGUGAAAGACCCGGGGCGUCAACCUCGGAACUGCAUUUGAAACUAGGCAGACUAGAGUACUGUAGAGGGGGGUAGGAAUUUCAGGUGUAGCGGUGAAAUGCGUAGAGAUCUGAAGGAAUACCGGUGGCGAAGGCGGCCCCCUCGGACAGAUACUGACACUCAGAUGCGAAAGCGUGGGGAGCAAACAGGAUUAGAUACCCUGGUAG